CCGAAUCUGGCCGGCCUGGCUAGGCAUCUAUUUCCAGGCUGUAAGCAGCUGACACCUGCCCGGUGGAAGCUGGCAUUCCUCCCCUUGUGGGUUCAGAGCUGCAAGAAGCACCAGGCUCAGCCACUUCAGAAGCCCCAGCCUCGACCUAGCCCACCCUCUCAAGGCCACAGUGCAGAAGCCUGCACACCUGCCAAGUCUCUCCGGCUCCUUGCAGCUGCUGUCAGCAUGGCCCAGGCUCCUGCUGACCCGGGCAGAGAAGGCCACCUUGAACAGAGAAUCCUGCAGGUGCUGACAGAGGCUGGCUCCCCGGUGAAACUUGCCCAGCUGGUGAAGGAAUGCCAAGCACCCAAGAGGGAGCUCAACCAAGUCCUCUACCGAAUGAAAAAGGAGUUCAAAGUCUCCCUCACAGCCCCCGCCACCUGGCGCUUGGGCGGGACUGAUCCUGAAGGCGAGGGUCCUGCAGAGCUGGCCUUGUCCAGCCCUGCCGAGAGGCCCCAGCAACAUGCAGCUACAAUUCCAGAGACCCCUGGCCCUCAGUUCAGCCAACAACGGGAGGAAGACAUCUACAGGUUUCUCAAAGACAAUGGUCCCCAGAGGGCCCUGGUCAUCGCCCAAGCACUGGGAAUGAGGACAGCAAAAGAUGUGAACCGAGACUUGUACAGGAUGAAGAGCAGGCACCUUCUGGACAUGGAUGAGCAGUCCAAAGCAUGGAUGAUUUACCGCCCAGAAGAUUCUGGAAGAAGAGCAAAGUCGGCCUCAAUUAUUUACCAGCACAAUCCAAUCAACAUGAUCUGCCAGAAUGGACCCAACAGCCGGAUUUCCAUUGCAAACUCCGAAGCCAUCCAGAUUGGACACGGGAACAUCAUUACAAGACAGACAGUCUCCAGGGAGGACGGUUCCGCCGGUCCACGCCACCUCCCUUCAAUGGCACCAGGUGAUUCCUCAACUUGGGGGACCCUAGUUGAUCCCUGGGGGCCCCAGGACAUCCACAUGGAGCGGUCCAUACUGAGACGGGUGCAGCUGGGACACAGCAAUGAGAUGAGGCUUCACGGCGUCCCAUCCGAGGGCCCUGCCCACAUCCCCCCUGGCAGCCCCCCAGUCUCUGCCACUGCUGCCGGCCCAGAAGCUUCGUUUGAAGCAAGAAUUCCCAGUCCAGGAACUCACCCCGAGGGGGAAGCCGCCCAGAGAAUCCACAUGAAAUCGUGCUUUCUCGAGGACGCCACCAUCGGCAACAGCAACAAAAUGUCUAUCAGCCCAGGGGUGCCUGGCCCAGGAGGAGUCGCAGGGUCUGGAGAGGGGGAGCCAGGGGAGGACGCAGUCAUCAUCUCUAUGCUGGUGGAGGUCUCGCCUUGAUGUUGAUGGCUGCUGACUGAUCAGGGUGGCGGUUGCUGAAGGUGGAGGCAGCUGUGGCAAUUUCUUAAAAUAAGGCAACAAUGAAGUUCGCUGCAGCAAUGAACUCUUCCUUUCAUGAAAGCUUUCUCUGUAGCAUGCAAUGCUGUUUGAUGGCAUUUUACUCAUACUAGAACUUCUUUCAAAAUUGGAACCAAGACUCCCCAACCCUGCUGCUGCUUUACCAACUAGGUUUAUAUAACAGUCUAAAUCCUUUGUUGUCAUUUCAACAAUGUUCGCAGUAUCUUCACCAGGAAUAGAUGCCAUCUCAAGAAACCACUUUCUUUGCUCAUCCAUAAGAAGCAACUCAUCUGUUCAAGCUUUCUCAUGAGAUUGCAGCAAUUCAGUCCCAUCUUCAUAUUCCACUUCUAAUUUGUGUUUUCCUGCUAUUUCCACCACAUUUGCAGUUGCUGCCUUCACUGAAGUCUUGAACCCCUCAAAGUCAUUCAUGAAAGUUGGAAUCAACUUCUUCCAGACUCCUGUGAAUGUUGAUAGUUUGACCUCCUCCCAUGAAUCACAAAUGUUCUUAACGGCAUGUAGAUUGGUGAUCUUUUCCAGAAGAUUUUCAACUUACUUUGCCCAGAUCCAUCUGAGGAAUCACUCUGUGUUGCACUUAUGCCCUCAUAAAAUAUAUUUAUUGAAGAAUAAGAAGUGAAUGUUGAAGUUACUCCUUAAUCCAUGGGCUGCAGAAUGGAUGCUGUGCUAGCAGGCAUGAAAACAAUGUUAACUCUUUUUUACAUCUCCAUCAGAGCCCGUGGAUGAACAGGUGCAUUGUCAACGAGUAGUAAAAAAAAAAUUUUUUUUUGGCCCUCAACCCAGGAUCCGGAACACUCAGAUCCUGUGGUACGGACGAUGAGCAGUGAAAUGUUCAAAGGAAUAUUUUGUUUUCUAAGCAGUCGUCGUCCCGCAGACACACAAUCCAGAAGUCACUUUCCUCGAGACAUUGGUCAGCCCGUCACUCCCAGCCACUUGAAGCUCACCCCCAAGCUGGAAACUAUGACUCUUGGAAACAGGAGUCACAAAGCUGCAGAAGGCAGCCACUAUGUGGAUGAAGCCUCACACGAGGAGAGCUGGUGGGGAGGUGGGAUUUAGUGCACAGCCUCACGUGGGGCUUGGACACAGGCUGGGCGUGGGCGCAUGCUAGGGAAACUAGCCUGCUGCUCUCUGCAUUCCUUAGCGUCUUGUUUGACCUGCUUGCUUCCAGACAUAACCUGCAUGAAUCAGUUUUGGGGGAAUGGACCUGGCAUGGGGAUGGGUUCAGGCCAGGUCUUUUGAUGGCCAGGAGUAGAUGACAGGGAGUUGCCUUGGGGAACCUUUGGUGUGCCAAGAGGAGGUGGGUAGAUGGGAGUGGGGCUCGGUUCCCCCAGGCCCAGGGGAAUCUCUCCACUCUUUCCUGGGCUCGGGGCAUCUGCCUGGAGUUACCUUCCAUCAUGGCUACCUGCUGUGGUUUGAAUGUUUGAGUCCCAACAAAAUUCAUAUCAAAACAUAAUCCCAACUGGGUGCAGUGGCUCACGCCUGUAAUCCCAGCACUUUGGGAGGCCGAGGCGGGCGGAUCACGAGGUCAGGAGAUCCAGACCGUCCUGGCUAACAUGGUGAACCCCGUCUCUACUAAAAAAAAAAUACAAAAAAUUAGCCGGGCGUUGUGGCGGGCACCUGUAGUCCCAGCUACUCCGGAGGCUGAGGGAGAAGAAUGGUGUGAACCCGGGAGAUGGAGCUUCCAGCGAGCCGAGAUCGCGCCACUGCACUCCAGGCUGGGCCACAGAGCGAGACUCCGUCUCAAAUAAAUAAAUAAAUAAAUAAAUAAAUAAAUAAAUAAACAAACAAACAAACCAUAA